UGGGGAAUUUUGGACAAUGGGGGAAACCCUGAUCCAGCCAUCCCGCGUGUGCGAUGAAGGCCUUCGGGUUGUAAAGCACUUUUGGCAGGAAAGAAACGUCGCGGGUUAAUACCCCCGCGAAACUGACGGUACCUGCAGAAUAAGCACCGGCUAACUACGUGCCAGCAGCCGCGGUAAUACGUAGGGUGCAAGCGUUAAUCGGAAUUACUGGGCGUAAAGCGUGCGCAGGCGGUUCGGAAAGAAAGAUGUGAAAUCCCAGAGCUUAACUUUGGAACUGCAUUUUUAACUACCGGGCUAGAGUGUGUCAGAGGGAGGUGGAAUUCCGCGUGUAGCAGUGAAAUGCGUAGAUAUGCGGAGGAACACCGAUGGCGAAGGCAGCCUCCUGGGAUAACACUGACGCUCAUGCACGAAAGCGUGGGGAGCAAACAGGAUUAGAUACCCUGGUAGUCCACGCCCUAAACGAUGUCAACUAGCUGUUGGGGCCUUCGGGCCUUGGUAGCGCAGCUAACGCGUGAAGUUGACCGCCUGGGGAGUACGGUCGCAAGAUUAAAACUC
rnacentral:rRNA from 1 species